AAGAGUCUCUCAUUAAGUCAGCAUCAAAAACCUCAUUUGUCCACUCCUCUUUGACAAUGGAGGCAACCCACUGAGGCCAGUUGGCCAUUGUCGUGGGCUCGUACAGGCGGUGCAUUAAGCAGGUCAAGGAUGGUAGGUGUGAGUUAUGGUCAGAAGGUUAAUGAAACAGACACAGUUAUGAGCUGAGAAGGACAAGGAUCCAUGAUGGUGAAAUGGGUUAAGGUUGUCAUGGGAGAAGGUUGAGGUGUAUACACUACAAAUACCCCAAAUGUGGAGACUAAUAAUUGGGUACGGAAUGAUUAUCACACUACAACAAAGGUCAAAUUUCAUUUGUUAGAAAUGAAUGGUCUUCACUUUACCUUUCUAAAACCCAAACACAUAAGAAAAAUACAAUGGCAGCAUCUAUCUACUUACUUAUAUGGCCACGGCUUCCCCAAAUGAGGAAAGAAAACUAACAUAGAAGGGUGAGGAAAAUGCCUUCAAGAUAUAUAAC